UUUUUUUUUUUUUUUUCCUUUUUAGGGCCACACCUGCAGCAUAUGAAAGUUUCCAGGCUAGGGGUUGAAUGGGAGCUGCAGGCUGCCAGCCUACAUCACAGCUACAGCAAAACUGGAUCCGAGCCUCAUCUGUGACCUACACCACAGCUCACAGCAACGCGAGAUCCUUUAACCCACUGAGUGAGGCCAGGGUCGGAACCUGCAUCCUCAUGGAUACUAGUUGGGUUCUUAACCAACUGAGCCACAAUGGGAACUCCUGAUAACGCAUAUAUUUAAAGCAAUACUUUGAUCAAGCAUGCAUUGAACAUAUGCCACACACCUGACAGUGCUAAGCACUUUCCCAGACAUUAUCUCAUUUACUUCUUACAGCAAUACUAAGAAGACAGGUACUCUCAUUAUCCCCAUUUCACAAAUCAUAAAACUGAGGCUUAGAGUAGCUAAAUGAUUUGCCCAAGUAGAAGAAAGAAUCAAGCCAAAUCCGAUGCCAAAAUAUAUACACUAACCACCAGAUUAUACCACUUCUAUAUGCAAGCACUAAACCUCAUAUACAGAAAAAAACCUUUUGGUGUCCUCACACCUAGGUCAUAAUAAAAGAGUUAGUUCAGGAGACAGGGAGAGAGAAAGAAUAAAUCUGAAUGAAUAUGAGUCAGAACAGAGUGACUCAUGAUAUAACCUUAGGCAAAUUCCACAACACCCAAGCCUCAACCACCCUAUCUAUAAAGGAGCUAAUAACCUCACCAGCAAUAAACAUUACUUGCCUCCUCGUAGGUUGUGUUAGUUAUUAUCUGUAAUCAUGGAUUAUCAGUUGAAAGAGAUGAGGAAAACCACAGUGUUAUUAUUAUUGCCUUGAUGCUAGAGCAAAACACCAGAAAUCAAUGUAAAUAAGUUAUGUGCACCAAGAAUGGAGGGUUUGAAUAUAUAUUCGAAAGGAAAUCAUAGAAUUAGUUGCUUUUCUUAAAAUUUUUAUUUGCGGAGUUCCCGACAUCAUUUUUAACAUAUAAAGUAUAGUACAGCAAAGUGAUUCAGUUACAUACAUAUAUUCUUUUAACAGAUUUUUUUUUUUUUUUUUUUCUUUUUAUGGCCACACCUACAGCAUAUGACGUUCCCAGGCUAGGGGUCAAAUCUCAGCUGCAGCUGAGACCUACACCACAGUGACAGCAACACUGGAUCCGAGCUGCAUCUGCAACCUAUGCUGAAGCUUACCACUGAGGGAGGCCAGGGAUCGAACCUGCAUCCUCACAGAGAUAAUGUCAGGUCCUUAACCUGCUGAGCCACAACAGGAAGUCCUCUUUUCCAGAUUCUUUACCCUUAUAGACUAUAACAAAAAAGAAUUUUUUUUGGGGGGGGGUCUUUUUUAGGGCUGUACUCACAGCAUAUAGAGGUUCCCAGGCUAGGGGUCGAACCAUAGCUACAGCUGGCAGCCUAAACCACAGCCACCAGCCUACACCACAGCCACAGCAAUGCCAGAUAGAUCCAAGCCACAUCUGCAACCUACACCACAGCUUGUGGCAACGCUAGAUCCUUUAACCCACUAGGCAAACACAGGGAUUGAAUCUGCAUCCUCCUGGGUACUAGUCAGGUUUUUUUUGUUUUUUUGUCUUUUUGCUAUUUCUUGGGCCGCUCCCACGGCAUAUG
rnacentral:lncRNA from 1 species